rnacentral:misc_RNA from 1 species
AAAGAAACGGGUCUAGACCCCACACACGCCACUCGGUAAAGAAUCGGGCCUAUAGCUCAGCUGGCUAGAGCACACGACUGAUAAUCGUGAGGUCAGUGGUUCGAGUCCACUUGGGCCCACCAAAUGGGGCUGUAGCUCAGCUGGGAGAGCAUCGGCUUUGCAAGCCGAGGGUCACCGGUUCGAUCCCGGUCAGCUCCACCAAAGGGAAGAGGCCCGCAGCGCGCGGGUCGGCGGCUUGGGUGGAGGCGGUAGCGGUGUAAAAGCCGUCAAGAAGUAGCUGUAAAGCGCAGUAAGAAGGCGUAGAAAAAGAGUCUGUAGUAGUGAGUUUCUGAUCAGAAGCUGAGUACUACCGAUUCAGGGUAGCGAAGCGGUAUUGUUCUUUGACAGUUGAGGAAGGGAAGGCCAUGUAUGUCAUCUUGCCGAUGGCAUGCCUCCAAGUGGAUGCUUGGGGAUAUAU